rnacentral:lncRNA from 1 species
UUUUUUCAUUUUUUUAUUUUUAGUGUAUUUAUAUGCCAUUAUACAAAUUUUGGUACAAUACCAAUUAUGAGGUUUAAUGCCACCAACAGUAGCUAUUUAAUCAUCAUUGUUAUAGUGUAGCACAACAUCAUCUUCAAACUCAUUCUAGCUAGCUAAUCACCACCAACACUAGGUGUGGUAGCUAUCUAAUCACCACCAACACUAGCUAAUAAUAAUCAUCAUAGUCAUUACCACCAACACUAGAUAUUUAAUCAUCAUAGUCAUAGUGUAGCACAUCAUCAUCUUCAAACUCAUUUCUAGCUAGCUAAUCACUCC